GUUGUAGACGCGGAUGCUGCGCGGCUCCGGGGGCUGCUGGCGGCCGCCUGCUCCUGGGCGGCGGGCACCGGCCCUACUCGGAGCCGCCACCUCCCCGCGACGACCCCUCCUGCUCCCGAGCUCCGUGACGUGGGCUCCGGUGGGCUCAGAGUUGGCUUCUGAGGAUGACCUAGAGGCCGCUGAGGCAAAACAUAGCGGGGUGAAGGGUGGAGGUGGAGCGCUGAAAGGGCGCAGGGACCUGAAGGCAGAGCGAGAACUCGGCUCCGGGGUUGCAGCGCCCGGGAGCGGAGGGAAACACAGACCGGACCCACCGCUCAGGCACCAGUGUCCUGCUCCGAAGACUACGGCAGGCUGUGUGGAGGCUGAAUGUCGCUUAGAGGGGUCUCCAGCACAGCGCGCCGUCAGACUGUUUGCCAGGAAGCUUUUGCCUUCCUGAGAAGGACUUCGAAGUAGGACAACUCAGCCUCCAGCUCCCUGAUUUUCUUUCUCUUUCUGUCUCCCUUCCCCCUCUGCCCCAAACGCAAGCUUAUGCUCUGUUACAAAGUAGCAUCUUUACCCGGUGACCCGGCUUGCACCCUCACCGUGCCCUGUGCUUAAUGGGAAGGGUUGGGCUUAGUGGGUACUGUUGUGCGCUCAGGAUCCCUCCCCCCAGAAGCCCCACGCCCUCGCCACGCACGACAGGACCCUCUCCUCUCCAUCAGGUUCCACACUCUUCCACCAGACUCGCAUCUGCUGGUUCCAAAGCCCAGCUCAUCCUCCAUGCGCUCACGUGUUUCCUCUUGGGCCGCCUCUGUCCACGCCCUGGACCAAGGUCGGCUGCGCCUGUCCCUGUCUUUUGGGUUGAGGUAUCAGCGUGAACCGUUUGAUGAGGCUCCAGAGACAACACACAGCUCUGAAAAUCUCCUACACACACUGCAAAGGAACGACACCUAGACGUUCCCAGUUCAGCUUUCCCGCGCCGCUCCACUUUGUAAUUACCUGACACAAUGUGAUAUGGGGGUGUCCAUUGUUCCCCGGCUUGUUAUUACGGAGUGUUCAUUAUGACAGUGGUGGAAUUUAAAAUUACACAUUUUUAAGUCCUUAAGAGAUAGAAUGAAUUCGGUGUGGGGGUAUGAGUAAGCUUUUCAUUAAAAUCUCAGUUCGGCCUAUCAAGUGGGGUUCAUUCUGAGUGUUGCCUUGCCUAAUUUGCAUUUUAGCAUGGUUUUGUCUCUUUAAGCAUAGAAUUACAGAUAUCUGGGAGCGUACUCUGCAGGGCUGAACAACCCUAUGAGGCCUGUUUUUGCAUUUUAGCAUAAUGUGUUUCGUACAAAUAUUUGGGAGGGUACCCUGGAAAGCAUCUUCUCUUUCGUGUGCUGGGGGUGCGAGGGAAAGUACCUGUGUACCCGAAGCCAUGCAGAAGGCCUGUGGGAACUUCUAAAAGCCAGCUUUUGCCUUUUAGGGGUCAUAGUGAAAAGCCAGGGGGUCGUGUCAAGGAUUUAAGAAAAGGGGUAGAUGAAAACCAAGGAGAUGUGCAUCCAGCUUCAGAGCCCCAAGUCCUCUGGCUGGGUCAUAUGUAUUUGCAGAAGACGUUGGUAAACCUCCAGCGACCCAGUAGUUAAGGAGGCUGAGAGAAGCCCGGACUCCUCCCCAUCACUAAGGAAUGUGAUCCUUAUAUAUGGUUACACCAUUCAUAGUAUGUAUGGUUACACUAUAUAUAGAGGGUGUCUCCAUCAUCCUAUUGUUGGUAGGCUUGUUUUUUUCUGUUCUGUCCUCUUGGUGUUUAGCUAAAAAAAAAAAAAAAAAAAAAAAAAAAAAGUGGUAGGAAAACUUUUUCCCCCUUACUUUGUAAAACUACAGACUCAUGUUGUAAAAUAAACUAUGCAAUAAG
rnacentral:lncRNA from 1 species